GGAGGGGUGGCCGAGUGGUCGAAGGCGCUCGCCUGCUAAGCGAGUGUGCCCCCAAAAGGGGCACCGUGGGUUCGAAUCCCACCCCCUCCGCCA
rnacentral:tRNA from 2 species